CCUGAAGUGGGUCGUGCGGAUGCUUCUAAACGACCGCGGGUAAGCGACCAUAGAUGGGGCUUUCGUUACGACGAUAUGGCUGCUCCCUUUACUUCUAAUUCUGUUGCUUGUGCUGAGCUUCUUCGUGAAAUUGGUCGUGGCUCGGGUAUUCCUUCGAUGCCCUUAGACUUGAAGGAGGAGAAAGUUUUCGCCGGAGCGGCCAGGAAGUCGAUCGAGGUAUGCUCACCUUCUGGGUUUGAUUCCAAUUUUUUCUUUGAAUUGCAUUCGCUUGACACGCUCUUUGUCCAGGCGAUCGCCGAAUGGGAUCGUUUGACUUAUUUGUACGAGCGUUGUGUUCGGAGCCUUUCCGUAGAGGCUACUAACGCGAAAGAUGCCCAUGAGGCUUUGGCCGUUGAAAAGGAAAAAGUAGCUCAGGCGCUGGCCGACCUGGCAAGGUCUCAAGACGACGCCAAGGAGAUGAAGAGGAAAUAUGACGAGUUAGCUGGUCGCGCUCUUUCGGAGAUGAAGAGGCUUCGAGAACGUCGACUUGAAUAUGCUGAAUUUGUCCGGAGAUCGGCCCUUGAUAAGAUGGCGGAGCUCGUUCAGAAGCGAUUGGAUCGUAUUAAAGCUCAUAUUGACGAUACGAAGGCGGCAGAACCAAAGUUUCUUGAAUUCAACCAAGUAUCUGGGAAUAUCAAGACUCUCGAGGCGUUGGUCGAAGGUGGCGAAGUGGAGAUGAAGUCGGAUGACA
rnacentral:sRNA from 1 species